UACGUAGGGUGCGAGCGUUAAUCGGAAUUACUGGGCGUAAAGCGUGCGCAGGCGGUUCGUUGUGUCGGCGGUGAAAGCCCCGGGCUCAGCCUGGGAAUGGCCGUUGAAACUGGCGAACUGGAGUGUGGCAGAGGGGGGUGGAAUUCCGCGUGUAGCAGUGAAAUGCGUAGAGAUGCGGAGGAACACCGAUGGCGAAGGCAGCCCCCUGGGCUAACACUGACGCUCAGGCACGAAAGCGUGGGGAGCAAACAGG
rnacentral:rRNA from 1 species